GAUGAAGAACGUAGCGAAAUGCGAUACUUGGUGUGAAUUGCAGAAUCCCGUGAACCAUCGAGUCUUUGAACGCAAGUUGCGCCCGAAGCCAUUAGGCCGAGGGCACGCCUGCCUGGGUGUCACACGUCGUUGCCCCCCCAUCUACUCCUUCGGGAUUGCGGGGGGCGGAUGAUGGCCUCCCGUGCGCCUCGUCGCGCGGUUGGCAUAAAUACCAAGUCCUCGGCGACGCACGCCACGACAAUCGGUGGUUGCGAAACCUCGGUUGCCCGUCGUGUGCGGUCGUCGCGCAUCGAGGGCUCGAAAAAAUUGCCGGGCUCCGGCUCGGCUUUCAACGCGACCCAGGUCAGGCGGGGUUACCCGCUGAAUUUAAGCAUAUCAAUAAGCGGAGGA
rnacentral:misc_RNA from 1 species